UACGUAGGGGGUAAGCGUUGUCCGGAUUUAUUGGGCGUAAAGAGCGUGUAGGCGGUUUGGUAGGUCCGCUGUGAAAACUCGAGGCUCAACCUCGAGACGCCGGUGGAAACCAUCAGACUAGAGUCCGGAAGAGGAGAGUGGAAUUCCUGGUGUAGCGGUGAAAUGCGCAGAUAUCAGGAAGAACACCCGUGGCUAAGGCGGCUUCCUGGCCUGUAACUGACGCUGAGACGCGAAAGCGUGGGGAGCGAACCGG
rnacentral:rRNA from 1 species